AAAUGUGGCAUGUUUCUAGUGAUUUCUGUCUGUCUUUUAUGUGCGGAGUUUGUGUAUCUUCAGUGGAAAAUAUUGUGUUUGUGAACAAGAGGAUGAUCACCGCUCACCGAUAAGUCGGAGCCCGAAAAAAGCGGCAACGCUCUGACAUUCGGAAGAAAUAAUCAUCCCUCGCAUCGUUGAAGCGUGUAGAGAAAGAACAGAUCUUCACUCCCGCUCACCUCGUCCUGGGUGUAAAAACUAGCCAAUCUCUGAUUCCGCUGCAUAAUUGGGUCGUAGUCGAUGCUACCACAGGGGGGAGAAUCGUCAGGACCAGUCACCGUAACUGGAAUGGGCGUAGGCGGUGUUGGCGGUAUUUGCAUCUGCAGACCACCCGUGGAAGAUGCCAAACUCGAUCCAGAACUGGUGGCCAAAGAGCUGCUCGAGUCGUCUCUGAUUCCUGAGAAGAUUCCCGAACUUGCCCGCUCUGAAAGACGCUUAAUUUUUACCGAUUGAUACGGUAAUAUCAUCUCGGCACUUGACGUCGACCUCGUCCAGUCGCGUGCCAUUACUACAGUUCAGUGUGUCACCACAGAUUCAAUUAAACCAAGUGGAUCUCAAUUGGGGUUAAUUAAAUUUUCUCCGCUCGUUUUGUCACGCCUAGACAAUACUGUAAUUAACUCCUACCAUUCUAAUUACUCCAAGUUUCUUUAUCAGGCACGAUAAAUGCCCAAUGACCAAUUAAUCCCGGA